rnacentral:rRNA from 1 species
CCGGCGACCGGCGGACGGGUGCGUAACGCGUAUGUAACCUACCUUUGACAGGGGGAUAACAUCGAGAAAUUGGUACUAAUACCCCAUAACAUCACCGGAGGCAUCUUCGGUGGUUGAAAACUCAGGUAGGUCAGAGAUGGACAUGCGUUGUAUUAGCUAGUUGGUGAGGUAACGGCUCACCAAGGCGACGAUACAUAGGGGGACUGAGAGGUCAACCCCCACAUUGGUACUGAGACACGGACCAACUCCUACGGAAGGCAGCAG